CGUCGCCAUGUUGGCGGCGGAAGUAGGCAGUAGAGUGCCUUUUUCCAUGCUUCUCUAUGUGCGACUUAAAGCAAUGUACCUCAGAAGCAAUUCAUGCCAUGCAUGCUCUGUUUCUUUCAAACGAUAGUUUCCCGUCCCUUUCAAACCACCCCGGUAUUCUUUUUUGACUUACCCCUUGUUUUAAAGUGUUAUUAAAAUAGUUUAAAUGACCAAUGAGCGCUGUUAUCUGGGUUGAUUGACAGUUGACAUUCUUUAGAAUUAUUUUUUGAUUGACAGGGCGUCGUCAAGGAGACGUUCGACUCAGUCAGUCCCGCGCCGGUGUCGUGCCAAAAAGUCCCUCCAGGGAAGUCCCUACUUUGAACAACUUCAUCACGACUUUGAUGGAUUAUUUCAUUGAUUCACUUUCCUAAUACUUAGGUCUUGUUGUGCCUUUGGAUGUAUUAAUCCGUAUUCUGUCGGAAGCUCUGCUGUUUUGGUAAGUAAAAUGAAAAAAAAAAGUACAAGAAGAGCUCUGUGGCUGUUUGACCAAAAUGACUGAGGUGUACGAUAUGCUAGCUUGUUAUUAGCUCUUGUUGAUCAAUAUGUAAAUAGAGCUCUAGCUGUGUUUGGUGUUUGGUCUGUCGAUUUGUUAAGCAACUUAAUUCUAAGUUGAAUGUCAUUCGUAUUAUGACCAAAGCGUGUAUGUUUUGGCGUGCAUCAGGUGUGUAGACACCCUCCCUCCAUACCGUAAUCUGCAAAUAGCUCAUCGUACUCCUGUCAACGUCUUCUUGGUGCAAAGAUAUUGCUUUCUGUAGCUAGCAUGCAUGGUCGUGUGUGUGUGUGUGAUUUCACCAGCUGCUAUGCGGUUGACUCGGAGGAGAGAUAAACAUAGCCCGAGAACAAUAUAAACCAUUUGUUUAAUGCAUUUCGAGCACAUAAUAGACAACCCAGAAUUGCCCCUAGCACCACUCAACUACAGGCCUGUUCAAACAAGAAUUCACGACGAGACGUUGUCUGUUGUUUACAUACUGUAGUUCUAGGCAAUGCAAGGACCGUCUGUCCUUGCAUUGCCCAGCAGCUAAGACAUUCAAUGCUAUCGCACUUUAUGGCUUUUGAGUAAAAAUUCGCCUCAUUAGAACCAGUUCUAUAAGGACUGAUGGGACAUAGGAUACGAUGCUCUGUCUAGUCAGUUUUGCUGUUUCACUCAAAACAUUGCGAUCAAUGCCACGUCGUCUAAAUGGAAGCGGCUGGAUGUAUUGCGUUGUGUCGUUUGAUUAGGUGUGUAUCCUGCUUGUCUUUCAGAGCACUUCAGGCGUCGGUGUAACGCUCUUCGCUCAGCAUCCAAACCGUGCCACCUCCACCAACAGCCAGAAGAUCAGCUGUCUAUGGGGCAUGUGUUAUCACUACCAGAGCAACGAGGUGCCAUUCCAGUGAGAUUUCCACAAAGAGAAGUGUCAAGUGUCAAACAGAUGCACCAUGGACCCUUUCAACCUCAACACCAGUCCAACCAAGGUCAAGUAAAACAUCCAGGUUAGAGGAGGAAGAGGACAGCAUCACAACACCACCUGACCCCUUGAUAUCUGGCAUUUGGAGAAAGGGCACAUCACAGUCGUCUGUGUGACACCCCCUCGCUGCAUGCCAGCACCCAAACCAAACCACCUCCACCACCGGUCAGAUCAUCUCGCUGAAGAUGUGUACAGUACGCUCCUGCCUGCAUCCUACCACCACAAGUUCACCCCAGAGGAUCUGCUGUCGACAACCAUUGUGAAAUCGUUGCAAUUAUGAAACACACUUAAUAAAUGCUAGUACAUCACACACAUUUUGUUUCUGAAUUGUUUUUCAAUAUUGAUUAACACACUGUUGUUACAACAUCUGUUUAGGUCAGGGGUGGGGAACCAUGCCUCAAGGGCCGUUUACGGCCCCUCAGGCCAUCUUAUCCGCUACCCAAUAUAAUUUUAAUGUUGUACAGCUUUAAGUGAAAUAUGACAUAUUGUAAAGGCAUCUUAGAAA